CUUGAAGCCUGACUACAUCACAGGGAGAACAUAGAACUUAGAGGGAAGUCAGUGACACCAUUAGAGAGAAGAGAGAAGGAGAUGGAUGCCCGUUGACCAUGGCUUCCCAUCCAGGGGGGAAAUAAAAAAACACGAGUAACCACCACGUCGCAUUUUGGUGCUCUCCUUCGACAGACGAACGUCGUUACACCCACCUCAACCCAGUUCCUGUUUUCUAGUUUUGACCAUUCUCCCUGGCCUGAGCCUGCCUGCCGUUCUGUACCUUGUCACACCACCCUGGACUGCGGACCUCUGCCUGCCCUUGACCUGUAGUUUGCCUGCCUCCCUGUUUUUG